AACCAUAGAAACCUGCGGAGUACCUGCGGAAGGAUCAUUAUCCAUCCAAAACCAGCUGCGGUCGCGGCCCCACGCUUACCCGUGGCGGUACGCGCCGCACGUCUGCACCCUUUUUUUACGAGUACCUUCGUUCUCCCUCGGCAGGGCAACCUGCCGUUGGAACCAUACAAAACCUUUUUUUGCAUCUAGCAUUACCUGUUCUGAUACAAACAAUCGUUACAACUUUUAACAACGGAUCUC
rnacentral:misc_RNA from 1 species